GUCUAUGGCCAUGCUACCCUGAACAAACCCAAUCCCUUCUGAUCUCAGAAGCUAAGCAGAGUUGGGCCUAGUUAGUACUUGGAUGGGAGACCACGUAGGAAGACCAGGUGCUAUAGGCU
rnacentral:rRNA from 1 species